UGAACUUGGUGACUUCACCACCACUGCAUGUCAGCGCCCAGCCGUAGACGAGGGUUUGGGAGGCAUGGCUGGGCCUGCCCAGGGCUCCCUGGCUGAAGUGGGUGCUGAAGCUGCCAGGCACUGGAGGCUGGGCCUCUCGCACACUCCCUGGCUGUUGGGAGGGUGCAUUCUUCUUUCUUCCUUGUCUUCUAGAGGAUGCACUCUUGGCUGUAGGCCUCCCGUUUCUCUCACGGGCUAUUCCUGGGGUUCCCUCAGAUCCUGGAGGUGCCCACAGCCCCCUUCCCCGAGGCUCCCCCCCCCACACACUUUGCUUCUUCAGUGCCAGCAGGAGAAAUUCUCCCUCAUCAGCUUCCUCAGAGAAGGGCUCACCUGGUCAGGUCAGGCCCCGCACUCGGGCAGGCACAGCAGGGCGCACCCCAUGACGCACCCAGAACCCGCCCCCACAGCCCCGGAGUCCUGGCCGCUGUCCCCAGCCCUACGCCCCUCUCAGAGCUUGAGCCAGGGGCAGCGCAAUGGGCAGCUCCUUCCCUCUCCUGUCCCUGGAAAACUGCUCUGGGUGAUUUGGCGGAGAGUGAGAGGAUUCGAAAACGCUGGUACGUGGCAGGGGCUGGCAGAUUCCAAAAGUGGCCCCAGACUCCCUGGACACCCAGACCAUCCACCUGGUGCCACAGUACCUGAUUCCCAUGGCCAGGGCAUUGGGGAGCCAGGCAGGGGCAGGGGAGGGGCGUUCCAGGUCCUCCCUCCUUGCCUUGACCUACAUCCCAGGUGACCCAGCGAGGCCCAGGCCCCCGCCCAGUCUGCCCCGCCUCACAGUCAGGCUUCAUCCUCAUCCCCAGCAGCCCCUGGGCCCCCCAUGUCACCCUCAGGGCACUUGAGGGCAGGGUCAGGCCAGACCAAGUGUGGGGCCUGGCCAGGAGCAGGUGGUGCCGGGGAAUGAGUAUAGGGCUUAUGGUGCCGUGGCCUGUCUGCUGCCUGGUCUGUCCUAAGGCCAGUGGCCCUGUCCCUAGGCUGUGGGGCACAGGUCCCAUUCCCCGGGGGAGUGAAGGGCUCAGGCAGCAGGCAGCCCCGUCCCCUCCCCUAGGGUGUGCCUGGGUGACUCCUGGGCUGGCCGACUGGGAGCUAGCCUGAGUGUAGGUUUUGAGUCUGAGCACCAGGUCCUCACCCUGCCCCUGGCACCCCUUGGGCACCUCCUGGCACCCUGUCUGCUUUGUGCCACUUGCCCUGGGGUCUGUCCCUCCCUUGGACAGACAACAGUGUCCUACUUUUUUUUUUUUUUUUUGAGAGAGAGAGUCUCGCUCUGUCGCCCAGGCUGGAGUGCAAUGGCAUGAUCUCGGCUCACUGCAACCUCCACCUCCUGGGUUCAAGCGAUUCUCCUGCCUCAGCCUCCUGAGUAGCUGGGAUUACAGGCACACGCCACCAUGCCCAGCUAAUUUUUAUAUUUUUAGUAGAGACGGUUUCACCACGUUGGCCAGGCUGGUCUCCAACUCCUGACCUCAUGAUCUGCCCGCCUUGGCCUCCCAAAGUGCUGGGACUACAGGCGUGAGCCACUGCGCCCGACCCAUAAUGUCCUACUCUUGCCUGAAGGCUCUGAGCCGUUCGGGUCUCCUGGACACGGAGAAGCCACAGCCCAGUGCCACCUGUCCUUUUCUCUCCGCUGCUCACAGGGGCCGAGGUCUGCACACCCAUGGCUGCCCCAGGCUGCCCGCCAGGAGCUGCCUUUUCCCUGGCCAGGCUGUUUCUCAGCCCUGCGGUUCCCAAGGAAACGGGCUUCCAGGCAAGCCCGGGUGGAGUUCACUUUUCUCCCAAUUGGAAUUCGGCUGAAUUGAAUCCAGCCUCUGCUCCCCUCACCUCCGCAUCCUGAAUUUCUGCUCCCAGCUCCCUCGGCCUGGGUCAGGUUGGGUGGGUGGUGACACCGUAUUCUGGCCCUUGGGGUUUAGGUCAGAGGUGCUGGGGCCUGUGUGGGGUGAUCAUGGCACUCUGCGGAGAGGGAGGGAGCCAGGCCAGGAGGUCGGCUUGGCUGGAGACAGCCUGGUCCCACUGGGAGCCCUGGAGCACCUGGAGUUGGGCUGGCUGGGGCAGGAAGGUUGUCUUUUGGGCACCCCUCCAACCCGUCAAUCAGCCGUGGGCUGCCCUUCCAUUGAGAUGUGGGGAAAACCUUGAUGAGGUUUGUUCAAGGUGAAUGUUCGUGAGGUGUGAGCCACUGCGCCUGGCACAUGAUGUCCUACUCCUGCCUCUCGCCUCAGGCAAGGGUCCGCAACAGCCGGGCUCAGCCUCUGUUUUGGAGGGAGGAAGGAAGGAAGCAGGAAGACUACCUGAAGCCCCCAGGUGGGCCCUAAAUCCAAUGACUGGUGUCCUUAUGAGAAGAGGAGAGGCCACAGAGGGACACAUGGAGAAGGCCAUGGACGGCAGAGGCAGGGGUCAAGGUGACACAGCCACAGCCGAGGGACGCCUAGAGUCACCCGAAGCGGGGAGGGGCAGGAAGGAUCCUCCUUGGAGCCUUCGGAAGGAGCGGGGCCCUGCCCACACCUUGGUUUCAGCCUUCUGGACAUCAGAACUUCGAGGGAAUCCUUUUCUGUUACUUCGAGCCACCAGGUUUGUGUAAUUCGCUACUACGGCAGUCACAGGAACUCAGGCACCAUUUCUCUUUUUUUUUUUUUUUGACAUGGACUCUCACUCUGUCACCAGGCUGGAGUGCAGUGGCGCCAUCUCAGCUCACUGCAACCUCUGCCUCCCGGGUUCAAGCGAUUCUCCCGUCUCAGCCUCCUGAGUAGCUGGGGCUACAGCCGCGCGCCUCCCUGCCAGCUAAUUUUUGUAUUUUUAGCGGAGACCGGGUUUCACCAUGUUGGCCAGGAUGGUCUCGAUCUCUUGACCUCGUGAUCCGCCCGCCUUGGCCUCCCAAAGUGCUGGGAUUACAAGCGUGACCCAUCACUCCCGGCCUCUCUUUUUGAAAAGAAGUGACCAACACAUUUUAUGAGAUAAUGUAAUCUCAACAUCAAAAAAAUGAGGACAUUACAAGAAAGGAUAAUUACUGGCCAAUCUUAAUUAUUAGAAAAAUACUUUUCAAAACAGCAAAGAAAAUAUUAGCAAAAUUAAUCAAGUAAUGGAUUUUGUCCCAGGAACUCAGGUUUAGUAAAACAUUACAAAAGGUACCCAGAUAAUGCACCAGUCUCACCAGUUAAAGGAGAAAAGACAUGUGCCUGUAUCCGCUGGUUCAUAGCUGAUAUUCAAUAAAAUUCAACAAAGCAAUGACCUCAA